rnacentral:lncRNA from 1 species
CUUUUAAAUUAUAAAAGUAAUUCAUGCUUAUUGUUUAAAAAAUUGCAAAGGCAUAUAGAGCAGAAACUAAAAGUCCCUUAUGAAUCCCCUCUCCCAAUUUUCUACUCUCCCAUCUCUGUUCCAACUCCUCAAAUCUCACACUCUUCCUCAGCAAUGACCAUUUAGGAAUAUGUCCUCUUAAAUACCUCUCUAUGCGUUUACACAUACAUACAUACAUCUGCACAUUUACCACAUGCAUUUUUCUUACAUUAAUGGGAUUUCUACUAUUCUGCUAUUUGCCUUUUUUGCUUCAUUAGUAUAUUUUCUUUGGUCUUAUUCCUUGUCAGUUCAAAUAGAAUCAUAUGAUUAUUACAUUUACAAUAUGGGCACACAAAGAUUUGUUUUUAUCAACCCAUUAUUGAUGAAUUUUUGUGCAGUCUUUUUUUUGCUAUUGGAAAUAUUGUUACAAUCCUUGUACUCUUUGUUAAUAUGUGUAUUUCUUUAGGACAGGUAUUUAGAAUGAAAUUGCUGGGCCGAAGAUUUGCCCAUUCAAAUUUCUAAGAGUUGCUUCCAAACCACACUGUGAGAAGACUUUAUCAAUUUUUAUCUCCAUAAAUUUUUUUUAAAGAAAAUAGUCAAACCAGAAGUCCCAUGAAACUAACUUAAGAGAUAAGCAAAAGUGUCUAUAGCCCAUUGACUUCCAUAUCAGAGAUUAACUGUCCUCUUCCAUGUUCAAACCAUAUGUAAUUGUAAUUGAAUGGAAGUUAAACAUCUGGAAACCGUUAGGAUUGAAUAGCAAUGAAAGGCAGGAAGCACAAGACUAUGGAAAGUGAUUUUGAACAACCAGGCCCACAAGAUUUCUCAACAAACCUAGAGCUCAACAAAGGCUAGAACUAUGUGAUAAGCGUGCAGAUCUUCACAAUGCAAGGCAGACAAUCUGGUGUUCUGAGAGCAAGACUGAGGUCUUUCUGUAGAUGCCCAGGCCAUAUGUGGAAGCUGACACUUGGCAACAACAGGCGACCUGGAAGCAUACUUCCGGUAGCAAUGGGGACAUGGGUCAAAGGGGACUUGAGGUCCUCUCUCUACUCUUUUCCAUCCUGUUCUCUGCCCAGGGAAGAUGACCUAUUUAGACAGCAGCAAAGGGCUUGCUUACCCAAGAGUACUGGCAGGAGAGAGGAAGGAGGAGGUAAGAUCAGAGUAUGUUCCUGGCCCCUUCUCUGCUGGUUCCUGCAGGUUGGCUGUGUCCCUCUACCCAGAGAUACAGCUCCUGCCAGGCAGCCCUUUCCAUUCCACUCCCCUCCCUGGCUUCCAAGAAUGGCUCCUCGAUGCUUCAUUCAGGUCUAGUGGUGGGAAGAGCUCCCUGCGGUUGCCAGCUCCAUAUCGAAGUGAACUCUUAGGCAAUGUCUUCUCAUGCAAUUUAUUGGGAAAUCAAUCAGAGAUUGACCUUUGCUAGACAACCUCUAGUGUCUUGUAAACAUUAUUUAAAUUUUAAAUUAUUUGUCUUUUCAAAAUCAUGGGCUUUGGCACUAAGUAGUUUUGGCCUUGACUGUAAGCUUUGUCAACAUUGAACACCUGGACAAAGUAUUAACCUAGCAGAGCCUCAAUUUACUAAAAAUUAAAGAGUAACAGUAAUAUCUACCUUACAUGGUAUUGUGAGAAUUCAGUGAACAUAUAUAAAAUUUUAUUACAAGAUACAGCACAUAAAUCUAAUUUUAUUCCUCUUUUUUCCCUCUUUCUUUCCUCCAACUAGGGGCCAAAUUUAGCUAACAUUUACUGAGUGAUUAUUAUGUGUCAUGUACUAGUUUAAGCAUUUUAUACAUAUUAAUUGAUUUACAUCAAUCCUAUAUACUAUUAUCCUCUCUUUUACAGAUGGAGAAAUCAAGGUGCAAAGAGGUUAAGAAAUUUGUCCAAGGUUUGCCAGGACAUAGAUGGGAGUACUAAUUCACAACUAGAUGGUAAACUUUUCAAGGCAAAACCAACUGUAUACCAAAUUUCUUUCUUUCUUUCACAGGGCCUAGCAUGAUGUCUUCCAUAUGCAGGUGUUCAAUAAGUGCUGAUUUUAUUCCAGGAGCAGAGGCAAUUAAGCUAGGGUUGCAAUAGUUAGGGAGCCAGGAGAUCCACGUGGUCAAAGUAGCAGCUGCUUUCACGAAGCGGCAGUAAUGCGUGCCGCUCGAAUUUGGAUGCAAGGUCCUGGUAACUGAGGAAUGGGCUGUUGCUGGAAGAUAGAGCAGAGAGCAGCCAGUUAUCUUGCGGAGGGGUGAGGAAGGAAAGAGAACUUGAGCUGGGAAGCCAGCAACAGUGGAAAGCUCCCCAAGUGAAGCUUGAGCUCCUCUCUCAGCAAUCCUCCUGGCCUUGAGGAGACAGUAAAUCUCACUCCAUCCUGUGGUUAUACCACUGAAGCAUCUUUAAAAACACUUAGUCCCAAACAAUGGGCCCUUUCCUGCUGCUUUUCUUACCUGAGCCAGCAACCUCAGAGCUUUCUGGGAUUUCUGUUAAAAACGCCGAGAUCCCAGGACUCCUUCUCUAUCAACACAACUGUCACUCACGCCAAGCAUGGGACAUAUGGCCGAGCAUCUGGGAGGGAGAAGAUGGGCCAGGAGUGCUGGCAAGCGGCACAUGCUUUCAUUAUAAUGGAUGUGUCACAGUAAAUCAUUUUGUAAAUGUCCCCUCCCCCUGUGCUGCAUAGCAAAACAUAAAGGAAGACGAAUUACCCACAGCACCACAAUGCUGGUUGAAUAUGCCAAAACUUGUGCCUGAGACACUUAGUGACAUUUCCUUAAAUAUCUUUUUAAUAUCUUGGCCAGGUUGGGCAUACCAAUGGCAUUACAGAGCUUGCAAAUCAAUACCCCAGCUGUUUUGGUUUUUUAAUAAAACUGAAUGUGAUCUAUUUUAAAUGAUUGCCUUCCACCCCUCUAAUUUUCUACAGGGCUUUCAGAGAGCAAGACUGUGGGCAGCCCUGAAGUCAGGACUUGGCUCUGAAAGGGUAGUUGUUCCUUUUGGGGGUGGGGGUAGAAAUUAAACAUUUGCUGGAUUACUGUCAUCAUUUUUUCCUAGUCCUCUAGUCUCCCAAAUCUAGUGAUCUACAUGAUUUACAGGACCAACUUGUGGUUUGCUGCUGUUUUUAAAAAAUGAGUUUACCAAAAUGUUGCAGAAGAAUCUAAAGGGCUUAGCUUCUACAAAUCAAAUUGAUUUCUCCAUUUGGGAUCAGUCCAAGUGAUUUAUUCAUAAUUUUAUUAGAGAUCUUUUCCAAAGGAAAUUCUUUGUCUCUGAUUAUCACCAUAAAGAAAAUUGAAAGAGCUUCUACCAAGAAUUAAGUCAUAUGCAUGUGACUUUUGCCCCUCGGAAAAAUGGAAUAUGUAAAACUGUCAUCAACAGCAACCAUCUUGGUUACUGGACAUCCACAGUCCUCAAUAACAACAAGAAUUCCUCACGCAGAUAGGGAGGUGGUCCUGUCACAUUUGGGGUCCCAGUAAGCAGAAAAGCCCAAUCAAAGUACCUAUAAAUCAGAGUUUUAUAAAGAUAUUAGUUGACUGCUACUUAUGUGGGUCAUAAAUGUGACACCACAAUAAACAAUCAAGUUUCUUUGAGGACGUAUUUGAGGACUUUUUUAUUGGCUUUGAGAAAUCACAG